UUUUUAUGGCUAAAUUACAGAAAAUUCUCCAAUCAAAACCGGAUUUUUCACCUCCCCCCAUUUAAAAACCUACACUUUGUCCCCUUAAAAUAAAAAAAUAUUCAUAGGGAGUACUGUGUUAAUUGUGAUGACAAAAUGAUCAAAUUGCCCCUCACUCUCUUCAUCUCCUCCCUAAUUUUGCUCAUCCGCAGCCUCUCCUCCACCAUCCUUUGCGCCUCCCUCGACCCAGACUCCGACUCUAUUUCCUUCACCUACUCCCCUGCUUCUUCUGCAUCCUUGCUGCCCCUCCAUUUCGACAACGGUAGGGAGGAGAUCGGGGUGCGCGUGGACCGAGAGAUGGCCGAGGGCGGGGGCAAGGGCUAGCAGUGGAGGAAGGCAACGGUGUGUGUGUCGGUGCGAACGGAGGGGUGGGCGAGGGCGAAGCGACGGAGGAGGACGAGGUGGCAAAGUCGAGGACGUUGAUGAGGAGGGAGGAGGCGCAUUUGAGAUGAGGAUUUCAAGGAUAUUUUUGGGUAUAAAAAAAAUAUAAUAAUAGGAUAUAAAGGGAACCCUAACGUAACAUUAAUGGCGGGAGCCAAAAUGAACAUUUUUUAUUUUUUAAGAGGGCAAAAUGCAAAUUUUUAAAUAACAGGAGGGAAAGUAAAAAAGUGGUUAUUGACAGGGAGUUUUCUAUCCUUUUAUUAUUAAAAAAAUUUGACAAGAUAAAAAUCAAUUCUAGGUCCCUAGAUCACGAGGUAUAAGUAUUUAGUAUUAAUAUAUAAACAUGAGGCGAAGUGCGAAAGUAGAUAUUUAUAGAGACGCAAUAUUUUGGUUCAGAACGGUUUUUGAAAACCUAAGAUCGAAUUUGAAUAAAAAUCAAAACUCAAAAUUGUACCAAAACCUGAUUGGGUAUAAAAGUUCAAAAUUCGAAGCUGAAUUAAAAUAAAAAUUGAAUUCCGUACAAGACUGAGAAACAAAACCCGGCUAUUUAAUAUACUAGAUAUUAAAUAAAAUUAUUAAUAUAUAUUAAUUAUUAAAAUAAAUAUAAAAAAUUAUAUUUUUAUAUCUAAAAUAUAUUUUUAUAGAGAUUUAUCUUUGAGUUCAAAUUCUAUAAAAGGGGUAAAACUGCGAUAGUUGGCUGGAUCAAAACUAUGAGAUGAUUAAAAAGCAUGUGAUGAAUGAAAACCAUAAUUAGUUUGGUCUCUAUGCUUUUCUUUUUAAGUAAAAAUUGGAUAAAUGGAUCUCUCAAAAAAAAAAAAAAAAUUGGAUAAAUGGGCUGCCCGGCCCGGCACUCCUCGAGCCGAGCUACAGCACUGUAGCACCCGUGCCGGGCCAGUCCGGCUCGAACCUCCGGGCCGUGCUGGGCCGCGCCUUUGUGGCCAGACGACCCGGCACGACACGGCCCGAAAUGGCCUUGAGUAUGCCGGGCCUAGGAGAGGCGGGCGGCUGGGCACGGCACGGCCCGUUUGGACCGUGCCAGCCGGGCCAGGACGACCCGGACCCCUAAGGCCCAAAGCAAGGGCCUAAGCUCCUGGGGAGGAGGGAGGCCCUCCUCCUCCCCAGGAGCUUGAGGACAGACGCCCAUGGCGCCUCCCUGGCCCCGGCUCCAGCACCUAAGGCCUCGGCCCCGGCCCUCAAAUCCAAGGCCCCACCCCGUCCGGCCAUCCCCCUCCACCUCCCCGACCUUCUCCCCCGGCGCCCCCUACAGGCAGACCUCCUUCCCGGCAACCUACUCCGAGAACCCCUCCUCCCCGAAAACCCUACCUCCUUUGGAAAACCCCGGCACCUCCCGCCUCCGUUAAUUUUGUUUUCAAAAAAAAAUAAUACAAAUUUAUUAUUUUUUUUAAAAUUAAAUAUUUACUAUAUUAUAAUUAUUUUUAUAAAAUUUUUAAAUGAUUUAAUCAAAUUUAAACUAAUUUUUUUUAAAAAAAUUAAAAAUAAAUAUUUUAAGAGGCAGCCCAAAGCCCGGCCAGGCCCGGCCCGUGCAUUCCGGGCCGAAGGGCCGUGCCGGGCAAGAGGCUAGGGGGCUCGGGCCUGGCCCGGCAUGGCCCGAAAUUGAAACCGGGUUGGGCCGGCAAACCACUAACCCGUUUCGGCCCGAAAAAUACGGCCCGGCACAGCCCACAUUACACCCUAGCCAUGUAUAAGGAUGUGUUUCAUUGGCCAUAAAAUUUACUAAAAAUUAUUUUUUGAUUUGAAAAAUUAAUUUUCAUAUGUAUGUAUAGUCGUAAAAGAAAAUCAAAAAUUAUUUUUAUAGAUUUGAAAAAAAAUAAAAUGUUUUCAUUUUCGGCAUAUUUUCGGCACAAAACAAGAAUUCAACCUGCGUAAAUUUUUUUCUAUUCGUUGUUUUCCAUCGAAGCAGACAAAUAUUAUUAUUAUUUUUUCAUCCAAACAAAUACUUAUAUAUAUAUUUUUUUUUUUUCUACAAACCAACCACUAUAAAAGAUGGAGCUUUUUUUUCACCAAAGUUUUUAAUAAAAAUUUAUUUUCAUGAUUUUUGGUCCAACCAAACACUCUCUUAAAUGUAAAAGUACGAAUAUCGAAUAAAAGAGUACGUUUGAGAAUUAGAGUGAAGCUCGACUAGAAUAUAUGUUAAAAAUUAGCAGUAGCACAAAAUGGGUUACUAUAACUAAAGAGUGGGGAGAUGGAGAUGUAGAGGGCUCACCUGUGCAGACCGAGCGCAGUGGCGAGGCCGGCGAUGCCGGCGCCGACAAUCACGAUGUUCUCGGCGGCCUCCGUCGACGUCGGUUGCUGCAUGGCGAUCGAACAACUCUUGUUCCGACGAGGGGAGAGAAUUAAGAGAGACGACAGAAUUACAAGGAGGAAGGGACGGCGCAGGUUUGGAAUUGAAGAGGAUCAGGCGGCUGAUCAGUUAAUAACUUCAUAUAUAUAUAUAGAGAGAGAGAGAGAGAGAGAGAGAUAUAGGGAGAGAGAGGAAGGUUUGGAGGAAGGAGAGGGAGUGUUGUAAUUGCUGAUAAAGGAAUGAAUGAAGAGUGCGAGGAAGGAGUGCGGAGUGACUUACGUCAUUGCUGAUUAAAGCUGAUUUUAGCUGUAGGACCAUAGCGGCGACUGCAGCCUACCGCCACAAUAAUUUUUUUUUAGAGAAAUCAAAUAUAAAAUAAAAAAUAAAUAUAAAUAAUAUAAAAAAUUAUUAUAUAUAAUUGUUAAAAAAUAUUGUUUUUUUAAAAAAUGUAUCGUUUGGACAUACUUUUUUUAAUUUCUUUCUUUUUUUUUGCAUUUAGUUUCUUAACAAAUUUUUUUUUAAAUAGUUUUAUAAAAUUUAUAUUUAUAAAAUUGAUCACAUUUUUUCAAUAUGAGCGUCACGUAAGUGUCAUAUUAGAAGUGGAGUUUAUGUUGAAUACAAUAAAAUAUUUACUGUGUUCAAAUACGAUAAAUGAUUUAUCGUAUUUUUCCUUUCUAUCUUUUUUACUAACAGGUCGCCGUGGUAUAAGAUCUCCGAGAUCGUGUAAGGAACCACCGUGUAGGGAGGCGGAGAACUGGACGAGGCGGGGUGCGGCAGUAUCGUCGGAGGAGGAGGAGGAGAGGAGAUGCGGCAGGGGGUGGCGGCGGCAGAAGCUCGACACAAAGAGAAAUGGAGGAAACUUAGGGAGAGAAUGAGAGGGAGAGAGAUCGAGUGGAAGUUAGAUAAUUUUAUUUUUUUCACUCAAGUUAUUAUUAUUUUUAAAAAAGUGUAAAAUAAAUUUUUAUAUUUUAAUAGGUGUAAAAAAUACUUUUUAUUUAUUUAUUAAAAUAAAAUUGAAUUAAUUAGCUAAUAAAAUAAAGUUAAAUUAUAAAGCAGACUAGAUUGGAACGUGCUAGCCACAUUUUUGGACUGUAGCCCGCAGACGUAUGCAGGUGAGUCCUCAUAGUCUCCUUCCGGAAGGAGAAAUUAUUGCUAUUAUUUUAAUUUAAAUGGUUCGGAAACCUAAUCUUCGGGUACGGCACAUUUUUGUAAAAAAAAAUAUUAUUGUUGUAGUAGUGUGUAACAGGUGGCUUUUGUUUGAGUGCUGUUAUUUUUAAAUGGGAUGCAGUGACUAAUCUUGUCAGUUUGCAGGCGCUCAAUUCACCGUACUUUAAUUUAUAUUAAAAUUUAAUUUAGUAUAUAAAAAAUAUAUUUACACGUACUAUAUAUAUAUAUAUUAUAUAUUAAUAUAUAUAUAUUUAUAUAUAUAUAUAUAGAGUGAGGUUACUAUUCUAUCGGAAGCAUGGAGCCUUUCGUACUUCCAACCUCGUUUCGAUGUUGCGACUCUCGAAUCGUCGAUCCGCUCCAUUAAACUUGAUCUAGAGUAUUGGAGUGCCUAGAAAUAAAUUUUAUAUUUUUCGAUAUCAUUUGCCUAGUGAUCGAAUGGGCUAAAAACAACAAAUUUCAAUGGCCGUAGUGAGCCGUUGUCAAGUUUAACGGUGUAGAAAUAUCCAAAUCACGUGAAAUUUGAUAGAAAAUUCUUUAUACUAUUAAAACAAGAUCAAUAUCUUUGAUUUAAAAUUUUAAUGUCAUAUUAUUAAUUUUAUAAGAUUUUUAUUUUCAGCCGUUGAUUUUGAGCCCCUUCGUUCACUAGGCAAAUGAUAUCGUAAAAUCAUAAAAUUUAUUUUCUAGGUACUUCAAUACUCUAGAUCAAGUUUAACGGAGCCGAUCGACGAUUCGAAAGUCCGAACAUCGAAAACGAGCUGGAAGCACGGAAGGCUCCGUGCUUCCGAUAGCAUAGUAGCCUCAACUAUAUAUAUAUAUAUAUAUAUAUAUAUAUAUAUAUAUAUAGAAUUGAGCUAAAUACUUUUACAAGUAUACCCAUGAUGCUAUUAGGUUUUAGCCAUUGGAUCUACUCCUUGAUUACUAAUAGCCCUUGGUAUCAAACACUAUUCCACCUACCACACCUAUCACCACCUACCACCAUCAUCUCAACUCACAUCUCUCCAUCCAAUGGCUAAAAAACAAAACACCACUUCCAUAAUACUUUACAAGUAUUUUAGCUCAACUCUAUAUAUGUAUAUAUAUAUAUAUAAGAGUUGAGUUGGAAUACUAUCGUGGCAACGAGCUCCGUUCACACCAUUUGUUUUCGAUGAUGAAGCCUCCAAAUGCGACGAUCGGCACCGAUGAACGUGAUCUAUACACUUGAAGUAUCUAGAAACACAAUUUCAUACUUUUUCGAUAUUGUUUCCUUAUCCAUCGAGUGGACACAAAAAUGAAGCGCUGAAAAUGAAUAUCUUUGUAAAAUGAUGAUAGAGUCUUGUAGUUAAGAUCAAGAUAUGAUCUUGUUUAAAUAUUUAAAGAUUUUCUAAUAAAAAUUCAAUUGAUUUGGAUAUCUUUAGCCGUUAACAGAAAACACUCCCAUCGACCAUUAAAUUACAAAUUUUGAAACCCUUUGAUCAUUAGGCAAAUGAUGUGAAAAAAUUGAAAUUUGAUUUCCAAACACUUCAACUGGUAUCGGAUCAUGCCAACGGUUGCCGAUCACGAUUUGGAGGCUCUCAUCAUCGAAAACAAAUGGUUGGCAACGGAGCCCGUUUGCUAUCGAUAGUAUUCUACGCUCAACUAUAUAUAAUAUAUAUAUAUAUAUAUAUAUAUAUAAUAUAUAUAUAUAGAGUCCGGCUACUAUGCUAUCGGUAGCAGGAGCGCUCCUGCUACCAAGUUGUUUGAUUGAUGCGGCUUCCAAAUCGACGUCGCUCCGUUAGACUUGAUCUACACUAUUGAAAGUAUUCGGAAACUAAAUUCAGAUUUUUUCGACAUCAUUGUGACUUGUGAUCAAAAGAUCUUAAAUUGAUAAUUUAAUGGCCGAUAGUGUGUUUGUGAGUUUAACGGUGUAAAAUAAUCCAAAUGCGAUGAAAAUUUUAUAGAAAUUUUUUUUUACUAUUUAGAGUAAGAUCAGUUUAUCUGAUCUUGAAUUUAAAUCUUUUUAUCAUCUUUUCAUAGAGUUUUAUUUUUAGCCGUUCAAUUUUAGACUACUUGUUUGAUAGGUAAAUGAUAUCGAAAAUUAUGAAAUUUAGUUUUCUAAAUACUUUUCAAUAGUGUGGAUUAAGUCUAACGAGCUGAUUGUCGAUUUGGAAGCCGCAAUCAUCGAAAACUAACUGGUAGCAGGCGAGCGCUCCGUGCUACCGAUAGUACAGUAGCCUAAUAUAUAUAUAUAUUAUAUAUAUAUAUAUAUAUAUAUAUAUAUAAGAACUAAGCUACUAUAAUAUAAUAGUACAAAGUCAUUGAUGCUACAAGUUUUUGGCCAUUGGAUUUAAGAGAUCGUGCGUUAGGAUGAUGUGGCGCUCUUUAGGGUUGAGUGGGUGGUUGUGUUGAAUAGAAUGAUCAAACGGGUGAAAAUGAUCAAAAGGGUAGAUCUAUAACGCGGAAAAACUUGGUAUGCACCAAGUGCUUCGUGCUAUUAAUAGCACAGUAGCCGUAUANNNNNNNNNNNNNNNNNNNNNNNNNNNNNNNNNNNNNNNNNNNNNNNNNNNNNNNNNNNNNNNNNNNNNNNNNNNNNNNNNNNNNNNNNNNNNNNNNNNNNNNNNNNNNNNNNNNNNNNNNNNNNNNNNNNNNNNNNNNNNNNNNNNNNNNNNNNNNNNNNNNNNNNNNNNNNNNNNNNNNNNNNNNNNNNNNNNNNNNNNNNNNNNNNNNNNNNNNNNNNNNNNNNNNNNNNNNNNNNNNNNNNNNNNNNNNNNNNNNNNNNNNNNNNNNNNNNNNNNNNNNNNNNNNNNNNNNNNNNNNNNNNNNNNNNNNNNNNNNNNNNNNNNNNNNNNNNNNNNNNNNNNNNNNNNNNNNNNNNNNNNNNNNNNNNNNNNNNNNNNNNNNNNNNNNNNNNNNNNNNNNNNNNNNNNNNNNNNNNNNNNNNNNNNNNNNNNNNNNNNNNNNNNNNNNNNNNNNNNNNNNNNNNNNNNNNNNNNNNNNNNNNNNNNNNNNNNNNNNNNNNNNNNNNNNNNNNNNNNNNNNNNNNNNNNNNNNNNNNNNNNNNNNNNNNNNNNNNNNNNNNNNNNNNNNNNNNNNNNNNNNNNNNNNNNNNNNNNNNNNNNNNNNNNNNNNNNNNNNNNNNNNNNNNNNNNNNNNNNNNNNNNNNNNNNNNNNNNNNNNNNNNNNNNNNNNNNNNNNNNNNNNNNNNNNNNNNNNNNNNNNNNNNNNNNNNNNNNNNNNNNNNNNNNNNNNNNNNNNNNNNNNNNNNNNNNNNNNNNNNNNNNNNNNNNNNNNNNNNNNNNNNNNNNNNNNNNNNNNNNNNNNNNNNNNNNNNNNNNNNNNNNNNNNNNNNNNNNNNNNNNNNNNNNNNNNNNNNNNNNNNNNNNNNNNNNNNNNNNNNNNNNNUAUAUAUAUAUAUAUAUAUAUAUAUAUAUAUAUAUAUAUAUAUAUAUAUAUAUAUAUAUAUAGUCCAGCUGCUAUACUAUCGGUAGCACGGGGCCUCCCGUGCUACCAAGUUGUUUUCGAUGAUGCGGCUUCCAAAUCGACGAUCGGCUCCGUUAGACUUGAUCUACACUAUUAAAAAUAUUCGAAAAUUAAAUUUCAUAAUUUUUCGACAUCUUUUGACUAGUGAUCAAAAGAUCUCAAAAUUGACCAUUUUAAUGGUCGAUGUGGCAUGUUUGUGAGUUUAACGGUGUAAAACAAUCCAAAUCCGAUGAAAAUUUUAUAGAAAAUUUUUUUCACUAUUUAGAGUAAGAUCAGUAUAUCUGAUCUUGAAUUUAAAUCUUUUAUCAUCAUUUUUUAUGAGAUUUUUAUUUUCAGUCGUUCAAUUUUAGACUAUUUGUUUGAUAGAUAAAUGAUAUCGAAAAAUUAUGAAAUUUAGUUUGCAAAUACUUUUAAUAGUGUAGAUCAAGUCUAACGGAGCCGAUCAUCGAUUUGGAAGCCGCAUCAUCGAAAACAACUUGGUAGCACGGGAGGCUCCGUGCUAUCGAUAGUAUAGUAGCCGGACUCUAUAUAUAUAUAUGAGUGGAGCUAGAAUACACUCAAAAGUACCAAGUGUGUGGUGUUUUAGAAUUUUUAGUCCUUAGAUGGAGAGAUGUGAGGUUGAGAUGAUGAUAGUAGAUGGUGGUAGGCGGAAUAGUGUUUGAUCCAAGGGAUAUUAGUAAUUAUGGAGUGGAUCCAAGGAUUAAAAACUUAGAAGCACCAAGUGGGUGGUGCUUCUAAAAGUAUCCUAGCCCAACUAUAUAUAUAUAUAUAUAUAUAUAUAUAUAUAUAUAUAUAUAUAUAAUAGGGCUACUAUACUCUUAUGAGUAUUGGACUCUUCGUACUCAUAACUUGUUUUCGAUGAUGGAGCUUCCGAAUCGACAAUCCACUCCGUUAAAUAUGAUCUAGAAUAUUUGAAACUUCUAGAAAAUAAAUUUGUAAUUUUUCGAAAUCAUAAUAAAGGCCAUCAAGCGGGCAUAAAAUGAAUGGUCAAAAUCGAACGACGUCCAAAAAAUGAAUGAUCGGAUCUUUCAAUUUAAGAUCGGAGUUAUUAAUCUUUAUCUAGGUAGUGAAUAGAAUUUUCUAUCAAAAAUUCAAUCUAUUCCGAUUCUUUUGCACCGUUAAACUAGUAAGUAUCCCAUACCGGCCGUUAAAAAUUAUCAAUUUUGUGACUUUUUGAUCGUAAGGUAAAUGAUAUCGAAAAAUUAUAAAAUUUAAUUUCUAGAAGUUUUAAAUGCUUUACAAAAUGUUUAACAGUAUGGAUCAUCGAUUCAGAAGUUCUAUCAUCAAAAACGACUUAUAAGUACGAAGGCAAUCGUACUCAUAAGAGUAUAGUAGCCGGACUCACUUUUAUGAGUAUUGGCUCUCUUAUACUCUUAAGUUUUCGGUUCUUAGAUUUAUUUCAUUGAUCAUUUCCACCCGUUAGAUCAUACUGUUCAACCAACUACCCACUCAACCCUAGGGAACCACUAUUAUUCUAAGUGGGGACUACCAUCAUCCUAACCACGCAUCCCAUCAAUCAACGGUUAAAAAUUUAUGAGUAUAAGGGGGUCUAUACUCAUAAGAUUAUAGUAGCCCCAGCAUAUAUAUAUAUAUAUAUAUAUAUAUAUAUAUAUAUAUAUAUAUAUAUAUAUAUAUAUAUAUAUAUAUAUAUAUAUAUAUAGUUGAGCAAGAAUACUAUUGAUCGCAAACGGGCUCCGUUGCCACCUAUUUGUUUUCGAUGAUAGAGCCUUUAAAUCAAGGAUCGGCACCAUUGAACAUGAUAUAUACCACUUGAAGUGUUUAGAAAUCAAAUUUCAAAUCUUUUCGACAUCAUUUGCUUAAUGAUCAAAAUGUUUCAAAAUUUGCAAUUUUAAUAAUCGAUAUGAGGCAUUUUCUAGUUUAACGGUGUAAAGAUAUCCAAAUCAAUUGAAUUUUUGUUAGAAAAAUUUUAAACUAUUUAAAACAAGAUCUAUACUCUUGAUCUUGAUUACAAGACUCCUAUCAUCAUUUCUUAAAGAAUAUUUAUUUUUAGCCGUUCAUUUUUGUGUCCACUCGAUGGAUAAGAGAAUACUCUCAAAAACACCAACUCCUUGGUGCUUUUGAGUUUCUAGCCAUUGGAUCUACUCUUUGAUUAUUAAUAAUUUUUGAAUCAAACACUAUUCCACCUACCACCAAUUACCACCACCUACCACCAUCAUCUCAACCCUACAUCUCUCCAUCCAAAGGCUAAAAACUCAAAAGCACCAACCCCUUGAUGCUUUUGAGAGUAUACUAGCUCAACUCUCUCUCUCUCUCUCUCUCUUUCUCUAUCUCUCUUUCUCUCUCUCUCUCUAUAUAUAUAUAUAGUAGGUCUUGUAUGCUAUUAGAAACAGGGAGAUUUUCGUGCUCCUAAACCGUUUUCGAUGAUGAAGCUUCCAAAUCGAUGAUCAGCUUCAUUAAACUUGAUCUAGCAUAUUUAAAAUAUUUAGAAAACAAAUUUUUCGAUCUUUCAAUAUUAUUUACCAAGCAAACGAAAAGGUUCAAAAUCAACAGGUGAAAAUAAAAAUUUCAUAAAAAGUGGUGUUAUAGCGCUAAAAUUUUCAAUUAGAGAUAUUAGUCUUGCAGUAAAUAGUAUAAAGAAAUUUUAAUCAAAAUUUCAUCUGAUUUGAAUACUUUUACACCGUUAAACUUACAAAUGAUAUAUAUCAACCAUUAAAAAUUAUUGAUUUUGAACCAUUUCGAUCAUUAGGUAAAUGAUAUCGAAAAAUCAUAAAAUUUAUUUUCUAGAUACUUCAAAUAUACUAAAUCAAGUCUAACGGAUCCGAUCGUUGAUUCGAAAGCUUCAUUACCGAAAACAGCUAAGGAGCACGGAGGCCGUCCUCCGUGCUCCUAAUAGCACACAAGACCUACUAUAUAUAGAGAGAGAGAGAGAUAAAUAGAGAGAGAGAGACUACUAUGUUUUCAGAAGCUUAGGAUCCUCGUGCUUUUACUUUUUUUUUUCUCGAUGAUGGAGUAUCAGAAUAAUGCUAGCUUUUUUUAUCCAGAAAUUAGAAAGUAUAUAACAUUUUGGUUCUUAAAUUUUAAUUUAUUAUAAUUUUUAAUUUUUUUAAAAUUAUUACAACCAAGUCUUAUAAUUUAAUUUAAUUGACUAAAUAUUGAUAUACUGCUAAUAUAGAUAGAUAAUGCGGCAAUAAUUAUUAAAAUAUAGCAUUAUUUUAACAUAAGGGCGCGUUGGUUCGCACUAUGAAAGUUUACUUGGAGUAAAAUGAUAUCCGAAAAUCUUAUUCCUAUUCAUCCUAUUACUAGGAAUAUAGUAUUUUGAUGUUUGGUUCGUACGGUCAUAUUAUUUAGUUAAUGUUAUUUAAGAUUACGAAAAAAAUAUAAUUAAUUAAUUAAUUUUUUAAAUUAAUUUUAAAUAAUACUAUAAAAAAAUUUUAACAUCUUUUUAGAAGAGAGAGAGAAAAUAUAGAUUAGAAAGAAAAAGCAUAAUUAAAGAAAUAGAAAGAGAAAUAGAAUCAAGAUUAGAGAGAAUGAGAGGGUUGAGAUUUUAGAAAAAAAGGAGAAAUAGCUUAGUUCAGAGAGAGAAAAAGAGUUAAAGUUAGAGAGAAAAAAAUAAGUUUAGAGAGAGAUAUGAGGUUAGAGUGUAAAAACAAAUAAUACCAACGAGCCGGCGGGUAAGUGAUUAGACAUAUUAUAAUUAUCCCAAUCCAUUAAUAUAAGGAUACCCAUCCUCCCUCAAAGGAAUGAAAUUAGUACUUUCGGAUGCAUCUCAUUCCCAAGUUAAUUCAAUAUUACCAACUAGAUUACUUAAUACGUUUAGCCAAAUACGAUCAUAUUUUUUUUAUUUCUAUUGGAUUACUAGAAAUUUUAUAAAAAUAGCGCGAACCAAACGCACCCAAAGUGAUAUGUCAAUAUAUUUUCAACUAAACAGUUGUGGGAAUUAAAUAUGAUAAUUUAAAAAAUUUAAAUUAUAAAUUAUAAUAAAUUAAAUUUAGAGGAUGUAAUAUCACCGUACAUUUGCGGACCAAAAAUAUAAUUUGAGCCUUAAAUUAAUAUUCAUUUUUUUCAUUUUCUUCAUCAUCCAUUUAUAGGCUGUUCCCAUCAUUCACCCACCAACCUUGCAUAAACCCAAGACAAAAGAUAAAGUAUUCGGAACCCCAACCACUGUAGAUUCCUUGAUCAUAUAGUAGCCUUUAAAUAAUGUAAAUAAUUAUUGUAAAUGGUUUUAAUUUUCUAUUUUAGGAUCUUUCGAGCUUGAUUUUUAACUAGCAAAAUAGUAUGUAAUUUGGACUUGUGUACUUGAUUUUGGCUUAAUUAUAGUUUACUAGCCUGUAUUUUUGUUUUAUUUUUAUUUACAACACCAUAAAUAUUUCAGAACGACAAAACUAUCAUUUUCUCAAUAAUUUCUACAUUAAACUUAGAAUUAUUUUAUUUUUUAUGUUGUACUAUUUUAUAGUUUAAAGACAUUACUAAACCAUCGUCCUCUCACCAGUCUUUACACCACUGUCAACUAAUAAACGGUUAAAGAUAGAAUUGAAGCUAGCAACUCUAUUAAGAGGCACCAGCUAGAUAGCAUGAAAAAAAUAAAAUAGAUCUUUAAGAUAGAUCUAUUGAAACUUUCAAUCAAAUUGUUCUCAAUCCUGCAUUUUCUCCGGCAAUUGUAGGUGCUUUCUUAUUCUUGAGUCACAAUAAGCCAAAAACGUAUGUGCAUUUCACUACUUCCAUUGAGUCCUCUUUGAUUAAGCUUUUACUUUAUAUUCAGUACCCCAAAUUUUUUGCAAUAUUGUAAAGACAAAUGUAAUAACCUGUGUAGGGGUGGAAUUGGGUCCGGGCCAAAACAAGGCCCGGCCCAAUAGGCCAUGUUUGGGUCGGGCUUUGGGUAUUAAAAAUAUAACUUUGGGUUCGGGUCAGGCUUAAAAAUUUAGGCUCGAAAAAAUUUUGGGUCUAUUUGUGCGUGUCAAAACACAGCCCGAGCCCAACCCAAAAGCCUGAUAUAUUAAUUAUUAAAAUAAAAUAUUUAAUUAUAUAUAUAUAUAUAUAUAAUAUUUAUCGGAAUAAAUGAUAUAGUAUAUUAUAUAUAGUAUAUAUUGUUAUUUGUAGUGUCCUGGGUGCUCAGCUGUCUAUGUGAUUUCAGCAUCUAUUGCUUGUCGAUACGUCUGGAGAGUGUCGGGAUAAGUCGGAGUCGAUUUAGCGCGAAAUGGACGCAAAACGGACUCAACGCGAUGCGAAAGUGAAGUUUUGACACUGAAAUCUGCAAAGUGUACGAUUUCAGUGUUAAGUACCGAUACCUGGGAGGAGUACCGGUACCCCCGUGAUUGCAGAACUGGAUUGCUCUCGGGUUUGCGUAUAUGUGAUGCUGAGUACCGAUACCCGCUUGUCGAGUACCGGUACCGAGCUCGAGUACCGGUACCGCAUCAGGAGAGUACUGGUACCCAGUGCGCUCGACAGCGGAUUGAGGGGCCGAGUACCGGUAACCAAGUUGGGUACCGGUACUCCAGCUGGAAAAAGGAAUAGGUAAGGGCCUUUUUGGUCUUUUGUUUGCGAUAAAACCAAACCAAACCCCCAGCCUUCACUCCUUGUGCCCGAGGUUGAUAGAAACACAGAUUGGUUCCCUCUUUCUCUCUCUAACUCUUGUCCUUCAUUUCUUUGGGGAUUUUAGAGAUCCGAUUUUAUUUUUCGUUCGCUUGCUUUUCGAGGAUUGUGCGCGCGCGCCGUGGUUGAGUCCGGUGGAGGCCGUUGGAGGUCGAGCGAGCAUGCGGGUUUCUCCGGUCGACUUCUUGCCGACGUUGGACGAGCGUUCGAAGUGGGUUAAUGUUUACCAAAAUCGUCGGAAUUCCUCCUAAGUUGUAGAGUGUCAGCAUGUAUUUUUCUUGUGUUGAACAUCAUGUAUAGUAGCUCGAAUUCUUAAAUUGGCAUGUUUUAUGAAAUCUGAAUUUGGAGCAUAGUCUAUUGAUGUUAGAUGAAUUAUACAUGUUGAAUUGGAAUUUGACUUAGGAGAAAACUCAUUAAACCUACACUGUCAUUUUUCUGAAAAGUUACUAGAUUGAGUUUCAAGAGCUGCUGUACUUGUGUAUCCUCGCUAUUAGUGCGUAGUAGAUACCCAGCUUAGAGUAGGCUGACUUUACGCUCGUGCUAAGGGGCCGAGCUUGUUGUAUAGUAGCGUUUGGACUGUCGGGUGCCGUCGGGGUUAAUGGUGGAGACAGAAUUCUGUAUCACCGCUGUUAAUGCAAGGUGGAUACUCGGAUGAGUUUACGCUCGCGUUGGGGAGCCGAGUGUGUUGUUACAGUAGAGUUACACUGUGUUGGACCGUCGGGGCCAUCGGGGUUGACGGUGGACUCAAAUUUCUGCAUUUUGCAUCAGAUUAUGCCAAGGGCAUGUGAGUUUCGAUUGGGUCGCGCCCAUGAAUGCCAUUCCGGAAUGAGGGUUUCAGUGCGAUGAGGUCGUAGUUUCUGUUUGAACAGUUCUUUAGCUGGCCACCCCCGUGGGUGGUGUAUGGCGUAGCUUGGAUACAGGCAGUGUGGGUCCGUUUUGACAGCCCGUGUGAGAUUGGGUCAGUGGUAGUUAAUGACACUUUUCUCUACCCUCAGUAAGGCUGUGACGUGUAUAGAGUCACAGCAGUCCUGUUGGACCUUUCUACUUGGACGGCCAUUUCCGUGUGUGGGGUAUGGUGUAGCUUAAGCAGACGGGACGGGUGUAGCAUAGUCCCUAGUGAGAUCUCACCACCGGCAGCCCUUGGGGUGGUGUGCGGUGUAGCUUAGCCAGACGGGAUGGGUGUAGCACAAUCCCUAGUGAGAUCUUGCCAUCGGCAGCCCUCGGAGUGGUGGACGAAGUAGCUUCAAUAGGCGGAACGGGCGUUUCGCAGUCCCCAAUGAGAUUCGGUCAGAGUGAGGCAUCGUUCAUAUCUACAGAUAGCCUAGUUUGAUUAGUGAUAGUAUAGUGGCAUGUAGCUGUAGAGUUUUUUCAGCUUUCCUUACUAUCCUUUGCGCAUAUUUCUGUAGACUUAGUGGAUGGGCUGUUGAGGUCGGUGACGGUACCCACUGAGAAUGUAACAUACCACAUCCCUCAUAAAUCGUGCCGAGUUCCGUCAAAACGAGCGGAACGCGGAAUUGAACGAGUUAGAAUGGACCUUGAGCACAUUAGGGCUCAUAGGAGAAGCAAAAAGGGACCCGAGAGAGAGAAUUAGAAAAUCUGGUUAAGUCCCAGAUUUUGUGCUUUCGGGGACCGAUCCCUGAAGGAGAGACCGGUCCCCGUACGCGUAGCCUGCCAGGAAGUCUUGAGGCAACCGGUCCCUGGUGGUGAGACCGAUCCUCGGGAGACCGGUCCCUGAAGGGGCAGACCGGUCCCUCGCUGCGCAACAGCCGAAAUACCGGAAAAUUUGGCUAAGUCCUAGAACACCCACGUUCGGGAACCGGUCCCUGGUCGGGGAGACUGGUCCCCGAAGGCGAAAAACGCCCAGUCUGGGCAGAUCAAGGGUAAACAAGUUGAGGGAUUUAAAUGCAAUUGUCACAACACUAUAUGUGGACACCCCUUUCUCUCCUACAGCCAUUUUCACCCUUCUCUCCCAUUUCCUCUCUUUCUCUCUCUAGAACUCUUGCUCUAGGGCUUGGAGAAGAAGAAGAAGAAGCAAGGGAAGGUGGAUUUGGAGGCUUUGGUGGGUUCUACAAGCUCUCCUACAAGAAGGACUUGGAGGGGCUUGGGCUAAGGUGAGUUUUUGGUAGAAAUGAGUCUAGGGCUUGGUUUUAAUCCCUAUGUUUUGGAGCUUUGGGUUGUUUUUGGCCAUGGGAGCCUUUUAUAUGCCUUGAACUCCAUGGAACCCAUGAGAGCUCAAGUGCUCUCAUGGUGGUUGGGUAGGGUUUGUCAUGGAAGCCCUAGGGUUGGUUCCAAGGGUCUAGAAACCUUACUAGGAUGCUUCUUAGAUGAUCCUAAGCUAUUGUUUGCUUAAGGUUGGGAUCGAUUCAUGGGAAAACCCUAAAUGACAAUAUUAGGGCUUGAAUUUGGGGCUUUUGCCCUAGGAUUGUUCGGGGACAAAUUGACCCCGUGGAAACCUAAUUGGGGGUGCCCUAAACACGUUGGGCAACUCCGUUUAACAUUACGAAAAUGAUAGAGUAUAGUCCAUGUACAAAAGGCCUAAUAUGGCACCGUUUUGAUUAUAGGGCGCGGAAGCGGCUUUCGUAAAAUCCGGGAGUCGUCAUAUACUUCACCCACACGAUUACUAGAGGUGGGGGGUGCACGCCGGAAUCGUUGGAUUCCCUUCUAUGUCUGUUUUCUCUAUUCUUGAGCAUAUAUGUUUUAUAUAUACCCAUUCAUGCAUAGUAGGGUAGUUACAUGUGGAACUUGGUUUGACUUCAUUUAUAUGCUUCUAACGUAGUUGAACAUAGAGGAUGAUAGAACCAAAAUGGACAUGUGUGAUUGGACCCUCAAGUUGUGUGAAUGUGAGAAUGGACUUGGACAAUAGAAAACAAGGGUGACAUUGACAUAGAAACAAGAUUUGCAUUGAGAGAUGAACCGUUAAAUAUAGUUUAACCAAUUAUGACAUCGUCAAAGGUAAAGCCUUGAGAGUGGCAAGAAUGAAUAGGUAGAGACCUAUCGUGACAUUGGCAUUGUGACUAGUGGCUAUGAGUCCUCAAGUUGAGGAUUAGAUCGAUACUCACAUUUCGUCUUGGCUUGAGGGAGGUCGCUCCCCCUCGAGCGGUGCGCUCCGGAGUUGGUCACCACUGGGCGUGGUAAAGUCCCACCAGUUGACGGUCCCUAGGGAGGUUCGAGUCCCCCGUUAUUAAGGGAUUUUGGGUUGUGAGUUAUUGGGGUUAACAGAGUUAACCGGUAAGAUUGGGUAAGAGCCAAAGUUUGAUUAUGAUUGGAGCAUGCAUGCAUUUCCAUUAUCGCAUUGAAAUUAUAUAUCUACUGACUUCUUUCUUGCAGGCAUAGUAUUAGUUGCAUUAGUAGUGGUUACUUUUCCUCCUUUGAAAUACUUAUGCCUGGAUGGACCUAGUGGGUAAGUCGGCGAGGUCGGAUGCCGAGCCCACUGGGAACUUCGUUGUAGUUCUCACACCACUAACCCUACAGGUCCUAGCACGAGCGGGGCGGCGGAGGACCGAGGCAAGGGUUUAGCGCCGUAGGUAGCGGCCACCGGAGUAGCAUUACAUUUUGUAGUCAUUUCCCUUUUGGUGUACAUGUAGCAGCUUUAUUUUGUUGAAUUAGAGAUGUAAAGUUGUAAACAAUCAUGUAUUUGGUGGAUGACUAAAUGUAAAAAGAUAUGAGGGUUGAAUGGAAUGUAAUAGUUUUGUUUACUUGAAUUUGGUUUAAAUGAAAUCAAAUAUCAUGUGUGAUGUAUAUUUAGCUUAGAGCUUUCGCUUCCGUUGUGGCUUGCCCUCGCGCAAGCCUUGUAUUAUAUAUGCAAUUCUCUUGUUGAUUGCUUAUUUAUACAUGUUGUUAGAGCCUUGGGCGGACAGGGGAGGCUCUGUCCGUUCGGCAUCUGUUGACGUGACCCGAACACGACCAAAUUGGCGGGGAUCGGGGCGUGACAGAGAAUUACUCUGUUUUGCAGUAGUUCUCACACUCAGUUGUUGACACCUUUUGCAGAGCUCUCGUCUGUGGCUGCUGCUGUAGCACACUGGACCUUUGCAAAUUGCAAGGUUCGAGUGUUCGAUGUGUAUUCCGAACUUUUCCACACUUGGUGGAGGGCCGUCGAUGGUAUACCGGCCUAAAAGUUCGAUCUCGAGACUUUUGGCAGAGUCCUGAGAGUUUUUACUCUCGGAGACCGGUCCCUGAUGGGAGAGACCGGUCCCCCAGUGAACAGUGCAGCGUAGCCGGCAAGGCAACCGGUCCCGCGCGGGGAGAGACCGGUUCCCGAACGCUGGAUUUUCGGGUUCGCAGCGAGAGACCGGUCCCUGCUGGGGAGAGACCGGUCCCUCUGGGCGGAAACUGCCCAGUUCGGGCUGAUGUAAAUUGGACUUUUUGAGGGGCCUAGCUGGAUUUUGUUACAAGAGAAGGCUUAUAUGGCCACUUCUCCUUCUCCUCUUCUCACUUCACCAUUUCUUUUGCUUCUAGAGAGAGAAAGGGAAGGAGAAGCAGAAGAAGAAGAGGAGAAGAGCUUGCAUAGAGGCCUUGGAGCAUUACCGUUUUCCCCAUUUCUCACCUUUGGUGACUUUGCACUUGCGGUUGGAGCUUUGUGAGGAUCAAACCUCAACCCUACUUGGUUUGAGCUUGGAUUGGAGCUUCUUGAGGUUGGUAGCUAUAAUCCCCAUUGAUACAUAUUUUCUAGGUUUUACUAGAUGAAACCUCUAGAUUUUGGGAUUUAGGGUUUAUUUUGGGGGUUUUGGAUUUGAGCUUCUUGUUCAUUUGAAUGGUUUGGAACCCUUAAAUAGGUUAGAUUGGAGUCUCUUACCUUACAUUUGAGGAUUAGAGAGGGUUUUUCCACUUGAGGUGAGUUUUUGCUCAACCCUAGUUUGAGUUGGUUAAUAUUGAGCUACUUGCUCUUCGUUUCGUUUGGUGACCCUAUUUUUGAUGUUCUACGGGUAACUGAGGGAGCUUGUGGAUACGCAUUCGUUCGGCGAAACGAAGAAGUCGAUUCUUUCGGUGGGUUUGGCUUCGUGGAAAUGGGGCGAAAUGGCCCCUAUGCUCUUUCUACUUGUUGUAAAUUAUUUUUAAGUUCAUUUCUAUGCUAAAUGGGAUCUAUAUGAAUUUUAGAACACUUAACAUGCAUAUCUCAUGUAUCAUAAAAUUUGUACUCCAUAUAGUAGAGCUAUAUGCGUAGAUUGCAUGCAUUGUGGAUAGUGCUUUGUUUUGUGAGUCGAGAACAUGUCUCCAUGCUAAAAUUGAGUGAACUAUGCAUCUUAAACAUAUUAAUGCCAUGCUUGGGACUCGUAGCACAAAAGUGUUAUAAAGAGGCAUUUGGAAUUAGUAAACUAUAAAAUGCAACUUAGAGACAUGAGGGUGGGCCAUUGUACGUCUGCUAUAUAUCCCAUGUUAGAGACAUGAUGACAUAGAGAUAGGCCUUUGGGACUUUCGAUUCAUUCCAUGUUAUUAGACAUGAGGACCUUGUACUUGCGACAGAUCGUUUGACUACUUGCCAUUGUGCUCUUUCGCACAUGCUUGUGAGGGUCGCUCCCUACAAGCCGGCACUCCGGAGAUGGCCAUCGCGAUUCAUAUUCGCCGUGCGGGAUUGGGCGCCGAAGUGGAUUGACGUGGGACAGGCUCAUUCCUAGGGUGGGGAUGAUGACUACCACGGGGCUAGUAGGCUUUGCAUCGGCCAGACAGCCUACGGGUGGGUCUCAAGGCCAUAGACAGCCUUCGGGUGGGUCUCUUCAGAUUUGACUUUGUGUAUCCAUUAUGAUAUGUGGACAGAUGAUGACUUAGUAUACUACUUGGAUAUUGGCUAGAAUAGUAAACAAUGGAACUUUACUAUUUUGCAUCGUGAACAUUAUGACAGUUGGAGACAUUUUUACUUCAUGCAUAGUUAUUUUCAUACUUAUGCUAUUUGUACUAAGUAGAGAUAUCAUGUUGUAGUAAGUUACACAUUUACUUGCCUUUCGCUUUCCUACGUUAUAGUCACUGACAUCUAUUGUAGCUUUGGGCCUUGUGGUGCAUUCACUGAAGUCAGUAAUUGCCCACUGGGAACUAUUCUUAAUAGUUCUCACGCCCCUGUUUCUAUGUUUCCUUUUCAGAGCCUUCGGCACCAGCGGAGGCACGGGAUCGCGGCAAGGGUGUCGCGUAGCUAGCUCGCGGAGAGUUCUUUCGCCUAGGUGGUCUACUCCUCCAUUUUAUAUUUUGAGAGAGUGUGAGGUUUUGUACCCUGUAUAGAGAGACCACCUUGUACUCCUUUUAGCUUUUGUUAUGGGAUCCCUAUUGUACUUACUUUAUGCCUUAUUUAGUGGAUUUACAGUUUUAUCCUUAUUCCUUGUUGUAGCAUUUAGACAUUUAUUAUGCUCUGAUACUCCUAGAUGUCUCUUAUUACGGCUUUUAUUAUUGUUAUUUUUAGACGCCUUAUAUGUUGUAGACAUAUGGCGGGUCUGGGCACGCGCCGGGCGGGCUUCCGCUGGGUCCCGGGGCGUGACAGCUGCUGUUGCUGAUUUUGACCGCGGAAAGAAAGUCGCGAGCUAGAUCCCUACUAGUCGUGUCGCCGUACUAGAGGAGUACCCUUCGCAGGUAGUUUUGAGGUGUUUUGGUUCAUGUAUAUACCUUACGUUUUGUUUACUCGCUGGAGCGAGGUGUAGUUAUGAGUGUUGUAUGUACAGUGAAUCCUUAGCGUUUAUAUAUACAUGCGUUAAUUUAGCAGCUCUAUACUUCUAGUUGUAGCUAUGAUUUGAUUACAGGUACAACUAUCGUUUUGUAUACACGAAAAAAUUCCUCUGUAUACGGCGGGUCUGUUGGCGCGCCCGGAAAAACGUAGUAGUUCAGGGUGUGACAGUGAUUAAUGAUAUAUAUUUAUAUAUAUGAGGAUAUAUUAUAUAUUAACAAAAUAUUUAGUUCCAUAUUAGAAUAUAUUAAAUAGUAUUAUUAUAUAUAUAAUUAAUUAAUUAUGUAUGUCUAUGAGUAAAUAUAUGGUACAUAUUAUUAUAUAUAGCUAAUUAGUUAUGUACAUUACACUUACUAAAUAUAUAUUAUUUUAAAAAUUUUUUAAAAAUUAAUUAGACAUUCUAUUUACAUAACUUCAGAAUAAUUUGAAAAUUUUAAAAUAUCACAAUGCUCCUUUAAAAAUCACAUAUACCUAAUUAAUUAAACGUUCUAGCUUUACGUGAGAAGUUCCUAUCCUAUUAUUUACUUUGUAGGAUCGCUAGCAUCCAAGUAGGAGUGAAGAUUGUGAAAGCAUAUUUUCUACUUGUCUAAGUCUUAGUUUUAGUUCAUUAAUUUUCUUUGUUUGGUCUUAUUUUACUGAUGGAUAAUUAUUGGCAGACGUUAAUGGUUCUAUAUUUAAAUGUUACAUAAUAUUUUUGAUGAUGAAUCAACCCAGUUAAAAUAGAUAUUUUAUUUUACUUUAUACCUAGUAUUUAUGUUAUUAUGUGAUCAAAUGCAUAAAAUGAGGAUCAUUAAAAGUCCGAUGGUAUUGGCUGGGCUUGGGUUGAGACAGGCCUUAAUUUUCAAAAAAAUUAGGUAAAAAGCAGACUCGAAAAUCCAACAUUUUUCUAUAUUGGGAUUCGAGGUUGGCAUAGUAUUAUCGACUUAAGUCCGUUUCAGUUACUACUAUGUGAUGUGAUGUUUAGAUAAUUGAAAAAAAACAGUUAAGAAAGAGCAAUGCUGAUGAAAAGGUGAUUGAUUAGAUUUGGGAAUUUUUUACCUCGAUGAAGAAGCGGUCCAGAUCCAAAUCAGCACAAACCAAACACACAAAAGACCGCCCAAUCAACCACCUCAAUCCAGCCAACACACCGAAACCGAAGAAAAAGAAGGAGUUAACCAUAAGAGGUGGUGACUCGGUUUGGUUCCAACAAAAGAAGAGAAAGUUGAGUGUAUCGAGUGGAUUAUACUCGCCAGAUCAGUGCUCCGGUUCAGCACCAUGAAGAAGAAAUCUGUUAUAUCAGAAAUACAUGUAGAGUCCCUGUGUUUGGCGUUUAGGGGUUAGAUAGAAGCUCUGAGAGAAGUGUCGGCAAGUCUGUAGUUGCCAUUGGCCGUGAAUGCGCAAAAUUUGACACUGCGAGUUGAGAAGAAUUGGCAAAGAAUAUGCAAUUGCAAGUUUCUUGAUUGCAGAUGUACGGUACAGCAGAUGGCACAUGUCUACGGUACACUGCAUAUGGGAGACUGCGAGGGCGACAAGUCGCUCUCGGGUUGGUUANNNNNNNNNNNNNNNNNNNNNNNNNNNNNNNNNNNNNNNNNNNNNNNNNNNNNNNNNNNNNNNNNNNNNNNNNNNNNNNNNNNNNNNNNNNNNNNNNNNNCUUUGGGGGACCGGUCUCUCGGGGACCGGUCUCUCAGGCAGGGACCGGUUCCCGAGAGCUAAUUUCUCAGGACUUAGCCGAUUUUUCGGCUGUCUCAUUUCAUACGCGUUCGGGGACCGGUCUCUCCCACCAGGGACCGGUCCCCGAGAGCUCAAAAUCUGCAGCUUUGCAGAUUUGGUUCUAUAGCUCUCGAAAACCUCCCGUAACUCACUUUUAAUCAUUUUAACACCUUCGGACUUUCCGAAGUGUACCAUCCUCGCACUUUGGUCAAUUUGACUAAAGUUCGACAUUUUUAUUUUUUCGAAUUUUCGGUAUAUUAUAUUUUCCACCCCUUAAAACAAUUUCGUCCGCGAAAUUACGCAUACCUUAACUCGUCGACUCAAAUAGAUGCGGAUACUCUCUCCGCAUGGUUUCCUCGAGCUCCCAUGUGGCUUCUCGCGUCGUGUGGUUGCUCCAUUGGACUUUUACAUACGGAAUCUUGCGACUUCGCAACUUCCUCACUUCUUUAUCGAGGAUGCACACAGGGUACUCCUCAUAGGACAUGUCUUCACGUAGCUCCACGGGCUCGUACUCUAAUACAUGUGUCGCGUUUCGGAUGUACUUUCGGAGAUUCGACACAUGAAAAACAUUGUGAACUCCCGCGAGUCUCGGUGGUAGUGCGAGCUUAUACGCCACCGCACCCACACGUUCUAAUAUCUCAAACGGUCCGACAUAACGGGGACUUAGCUUCCCACGGACCCCAAAUCGUUUGACUCCUCGCAUCGGCGAUACUCUUAAGAAUACACGGUCUCCAACCGCAAACUUUAAAUCCUUUCUUCGCUUGUCAGCAUAACUCUUUUGCCGAGAUUGCGCCGUCGCUAACCGUUGACGGGCAAGGCGAACUUUCUCUUCCGCCUCCCGCACCACAUCCGGGCCAAGAGCCGUUCUCUCGCCCACGUCGCUCCAAUGGAUAGGAGAACGACACUUACGUCCAUAUAGUGCCUCAAAAGGCGCCAUCGCUAUGCUUUCCUGAUAACUAUUGUUAUAGGCGAACUCCGCCAUAGGCAAGAAAUCAUGCCAUCCUCCUUUAUAAUCUAGCACACACGCUCGAAGUAAAUCCUCAAGGAUUUGUAUUGUUCGCUCCGACUGUCCAUCACUCUGAGGAUGAAACGCUGUGCUAAAAUCGAGCCGUGUGCCUAGCGCGUCUUGCAAACUCUUCCAAAAGUGGGAUGUGAACCUGGGGUCGCGAUCCGAUACGAUCGACACUGGAACCCCAUGAAGUCUCACAACCUCGUCGAGAUACACUUGAGCUAACUUGUCUCCCGACCACGUAGUAUGUAUCGGCAAGAAGUGUGCCGACUUUGUCAAUCGAUCCACUAUCACCCAUAUCGCAUCGUGUCCGCCUUGUGAUCCGAGGCAAACCGGUGACAAAGUCCAUUGCUAUGUCUUCCCAUUUCCAAACGGGUAUUGGUAGACUUUGUAGCUUUCCCGUCGGAAAUCGGCGCUCAGCUUUUACUUGCUGGCACGUUAGACAUUGCGCCACGAACUCCCCGAUAUCUCUUUUCAUACCCGGCCACCAAUAGUGCUCUUUCAAAUCCUUGUACAUUUUAGUGCCACCGGGGUGUAUACUAUAGGGAGAUUGGUGCGCUUCUUGCAUAAUCGCCCUUCGUAACUCAUCAUCCUUAGGCACACACCAUCGAUUUCGAAAUCGAAGUGCGCCAUCGGCUCCCAUGCCAAAAUCUUCGGCUUUACCGCUCUCAACAUCACCUCGAACCUUUUGGAGAUAAGGUUCCGAAGCUUGUAACGCUCUAAUUCUUUCCAAUAGGGUCGGUUGCACAACUAAUGCGGCAAGUGUAGCCGGCACUCCUGGCGCUACCACUUCCAACCCAAAUCUCUGCAUCUCCUUUUGCAAUAGCGGUUGAGGCGUAAUUGCCGUCGCUAAGCUCUCCGCCAAUUUUCUACUCAAGGCAUCGGCCACAACAUUGGCUUUCCCGGGGUGGUAUAGUAUAGUGACAUCGUAGUCCUUUAGCAACUCUAACCACCGCCGCUGUCGGAUGUUCAACUCUUUCUGGGUGAACAAGUACUUUAAACUCUUGUGAUCGGUGUAUACCUCACAAUGUUCACCAUAUAAGUAAUGCCUCCAAAGCUUUAGCGCGAAAAUCACCGCGGCUAACUCAAGGUCGUGAAUCGGGUAAUUCUUCUUAUAGCCCUUUAAUUGGCGCGAUGCAUAAGCAAUAACUCGCCCAUUUUGCAUUAAUACACACCCGAGACCAACAUACGAGGCAUCACUAUACCCUACAAAAGUCUCUCCCGGAGUCGGCAAAGCAAGCACCGGGGUCGACGUCAACCUGUUCUUUAACUCCUCGAAGCUUUGAUCGCAAUCGUCGCUCCACACGUACUUUACUCCUUUAUGCGUGAGGCGCGUUAGUGGAGUGGUUAUUUUGGCGAACCCCUCCACGAACUGCCGAUAGUAGCCCACCAGUCCAAGAAAACUGCGGAUCUCCGCUACAUUCGUCGGGCGAGGCCAAUCCUUGAUCGCCUCUACUUUCUUCGGGUCUACUGACACUCCGUCGCCCGAUACCACAUGACCAAGAAUGUGACCUCCUUUAGCCAAAAGUCACAUUUCUUUAACUUUGCAUAGAGCUUCUCCUGUCUGAGUAUUUGCAACACCGCUCUCAGAUGCUCUUCAUGCUCCUCUUCGCUCUUCGAAUAGACCAAUACGUCGUCUAUAAACACUACGACGCAUCGAUCCAACAACGGCCUAAAGACUCGAUUCAUCAAGUCCAUAAAUGCUGCCGGGGCAUUAGUAAGCCUAAACAGCAUUACCGUGAACUCAUAAUGGCCAUACCGCGUACGAUACGCCGUUUUGUGCACAUCCUUCGGCCUGAUCUUUAACUGAUGAUACCCCGAUUGGAGAUCAAUCUUCGAAUACACUUUGAACCCUUGCAACUGAUCGAAUAGAUCGUCAAUCCUUGGCAACGGGUACUUGUUCUUUAUCGUUACUUUGUUCAACUCGCGAUAAUCUACGCAGAGUCGAAGUGUACCAUCCUUUUUCUUCACGAAUAGCACCGGAGCUCCCCACGAUGACACACUCGGCCUCACGAAGCCCUUAUCGAGCAAGUCUUGUAGUUGACCUUUUAGCUCCUUUAACUCCACCGGUGCCAUUCUAUACGGGGCCUUCGAAACUGGUUCCGCCCUGGGAAUCAAGUCAAUGACAAACUCAACUUCCCGGUCCGGUGGCAGUCCCGGUAACUCCGCCGAAAAUACAUCCGGGUACUCACAUACUACUCGAAUAUCUCCCAACUCUGGGUACUCCUUUCGAGCAUCCACCAUGGUUGCCAAAUAGGCCUUACACCCUCCUUUGAUCAUUUUCUUCGCCCUUACAGACGAUAUGGUCGCCGCAAAGCGCCUACUUUUGCACGCUUGGUAGACUAACUCUUCUUGAUUAGGCUCACGAAAAGUGAUCACCUUGCUUUCACAAUCUAUCACCGCAUAGUAUUUGGAGAGCCAAUUGGUCCCCAAGAUAACAUCAAAUCCCCACAUCUGAUCUAGCACUAACAGAUCAAUCGGCAUGAUCCAAUCGCCUAUCUGCACUGGACACGCCAAACACUCGUUAUGAACACUGAAUGAAUGUUCUGGGGCGUUCACCCACCAGUAAUCCUCAUUGUAUACCAUCUCUAUGCCAUGUGUUUUAGCAAAUGAAGUGCUAAUGAAUGAAUGAGAUGCGCCUGUAUCAAACACUGCUCUAGCUCUAGUGCCUUUAAUCACAAUUAUACCUGCCACGACGUCGUCGGGUGCUGCAAGUUGUUGCUCCUCCACCUGAGCGACAAAGACUCGACCGCUAGGCGCUCUCGAUCCCUCCGGCUGACGCGGUGAUGACGCGCGCCCAGCCGACAUCGCCGGUGGUAACCCCGAAAGCUGUCUCGGGGUAGUCGGUGCUGAUGCCGCCGUCGGCGUAGACGACGUCCACGACGGGCACUCCCGGAUAAGAUGUCCCGGUUGGCCACACUUGAAACAUUUGCCGUCUCGCUGCGGGCAAGUCGACACCUUGUGCUCACCGCCACAUAUGACGCAUCGAGGUGGUCUCCAGUUCCUCGACUGCUGUCGGGGAUACCGAGGGGGUUUCUUAGCAUUUGGCCGGCCCCCGGCACCACCCGCCGUCCUCUUCUUGCCUUCGUCCUUGGACUCGGCCAUAGCUUCUCGUUCUUCACGUACAUGGGCGCUACCGUGCUCCGCCCACAAGGCUCGAUCGAAGACCUCCGCAAAGGUCGACAACUUCAGAAUCUGCACCUUUUCAUAAAUCCGGGGUUGGAGUCCUCGCAAGAACCAAUCCGCCCGGUCCCGAUCAUCACGAAAAACAUCGGGAACGCAGUCAAUAAUGUGGGAGAAUUCUUGCUCAUACUCUCCCACCGAUCGAUCACCCUGUCUCAACUUGCGGAACUUUUCUUGCAACUUCCGCUUCGUCGUGUCGGGGAAGUAGUUCCCGAACACUGCUCUCUUGAAUUCUUCCCAAAGCAUGAGCGGAAGGUCGGUAGGACGAUCCCGCUUCACUCGCUUCCACCACACCUUUGCCGCCUUCUUAAGACAAUGGGUGGCGAGGUACACUUUCUCCUUCUCCAAGGUAUUCAAAUCCUCGAAGAGCGUCUCCAUUGAGUCGAUCCACGACUCCACAACCGCCGGCUCCACCAAACCGCCCUCGAAGGUAGGUGGGUCGAACUUCUUGAACUGAAUGAGAGCCGCCAAGGUGCGCUCUCGCUUCGCAUCGACUGCCGCGCUAUCGGGAUUCGAGGUUCCCGACCCGGCCGGUACUACCGUAACUGGAACAGCCGCCGCUGCCGCCGCUCCCUCAACAACACUCGGCACCACCACAGGGGGCGCGACAUGCUCGACACCCGCCUGGGCUGCCGCCGCCUGCUGGCGCUCCAAGGUCUCCUGGAGCCGAUGAAUCUGUUCCCCUUGGCGUUGAACAGACUCCGCUUGUUGCCACACUAUGCCAAUAAGCGCGGCCAUUUGUUCCCUAAGCUCUCCGUCGCCACUCGCUCCGGAUUGCUCGGGCACCGCAUUCGUUUCCUCCGGCAUCGACCUUGUCUGCGAUCGACGUCGAGGUGCCAUUGCUUCCUGAAAAGAAGCAACUCGCAUUAGUCACUUGACCAACAUUACUAGACCAUACCCAAUUAGGCGAAAGCAACAUGCACAUUCAUCCUUGCUUCAAGCGUUAUGUCGUCGGCCGCCCGACACAACACUAGGAGUAGAGGAUAAACGAAAAUUAAACUUAGCCUCUAAUCACAUUAGAGACGUCCCUACUUAACCCAAUCAUAUGCUUUCGCUAACUUUGAUCCCACGUCACUCACGUUUCCUAGAUCCUUAAGGCCUUCCAAUCCUAAGGGUCUCUAGGUCCAUUCCUAUUCUUUCACUAUUGGCUCUGAUACCACGAUAUCUGUCACGCCCCGGGACCGAUGCCAAUUUGGCCCGACCCGAGCACGUCAAACAGACGCCGGACGGACAGAGUUUUUCCUAUCCGCCCAAGGCUCAUCACAUGUACAUUUUCAUCAUUAGAGAAAAGCACUAGCGGAAACAUACACAAACGGCUUACACGAGGGUAAGCAAUAGCCAUUAGUGAAAGAAAAAGGAAACUAAACAUUCACAAGUAAUAUGAUUCAUUUUAGAUCAUAUACAUUGCAUCCAUCUCUUACAUUUAGGAUUCUUUGCAUUUCAUUACAUGAUUUCAUCAUUUCUUUCUUACAUCACAUUUACCUCAAAAUAAGCUUUACAUUCUUUUCUUUACAUCACUAAUCAUCAAGUACAAAAGAUGAUAAAAUGGUGUCUACUAACAAAAUGUAACCGAACUUUGGUGGCCUCUGACUAAGGCGCGAUACCUUUACCUCGGUCGCUCGCCGGCUCGCUCGGUCCCGACUUUGUGGAAAUAGUGGGGUGAGAACUACAACAAAGUUCCCAGUGGGUUCGGCCUCAACAUCACCGACUUUCCCACUAGGACUAACUCAGGCAUAAUAGAAAGGAUAAGCUGAAAUAUAGUAACCAAUCUACAACAUGAUGCUAAUAUGCCUGAACAAAAGCAAGGAAUAUGCUCAACAUUAAUAUAUGCAGAUUAUGCAAGUUCUUUCGUUCUUUAUCUUUACACUUUGUUCUUUGUUCUUUACUCUUUGUUCUUUAUUCUUUAAUCUCAAGGCUAACCCGGGGGUUUCGCCACGUUAACUUGCUUUACAUUAAGUCCAUCAUCGCAGGAACUCACCCGCUAGGACCGUCCUUCGGGUUUACUCCAACCCGUGAUGCAUAACUCCGGAGCGCAUCGCCCGAGGGGGAGCGACCGCCCUCGAGCACGGAACUCAUAGCAAGUAUGAUCGAAUCCUUAACUCAAAGGAUUUAUAAGUUCAAUCUUGACUUUACACUAGCUCUAGUGUUCUUUCAUCACUUUACGUUGCCAACUCUAGCAAUCAUUGUUCUUUACUUUUCUUUUACUCUUGCUAUCUUUAGCAUUCUUGUUCUUUACAUUUCUUAUUCUUAUUGCCCCACUUUAUUUUAACUUUACACAUUGUCAUUUUUAUCAUUCUUUACAUCACUUUGGUUCUUUGGCUCACACUAACUCUAGUGUCACUUUACUUUACGUUUUCAAAUGCCACUCGAUCUAUGUCAUUGUGUCACUCUGUUCUUUUGCUCACUUUGGGUGCUCACUUUUCUCUCAUGCAUACACAUAGGGUUCUAACAUUCAUAAGGUUCUCAUUCAUUAAUUAUGCAGGUUGUACUCACAAUCAUGCAAUCAUCACAUUUUAUCAUUACUUUAUCCUAAAAUGCAUGCAACAAUAUAGGUACAUAUGCUCAAUCGAAUGACACAUUAGGCAUAGAGGGAGUUCAACGAGUUUGAGAAGCACCACCCACCUCGUAGGCUCUCAAAGGUGCUCCGAUGAUUUUCUUGGAAUUUUUAGACUCUUCGUUCCUUACCUGCGGCAUAACGAAGCAAAAUUAGGCUUAAUUGGCCAUAACUUUACAUCGGCUUUUCGUAACAUUAAUCCGAGCGCACCAACGCGUCGGAAAUACCCCCAAUUAGGUUUUUAGAGGGUCAAUUGCACUUAGAAACCCUCAUGAGUAAAAGCCCCAAUUUUGGUGCCCUAGCUCCAAUGUAUAGCAAAACCUAGGGUUUGAUCUCUUUGGGAAGCAAAAGUAGCUUCACUAUACUCUAAAUAGUCCAUUAGAAUCAUUCUUAGGCUUUCCAAAACCCUAGAUUAGAUUUCACCAUUAGAGGUGGGUUGAAGCUCACCUUAAGCUCAACCAUGGUUUUGAUCCUUAAAAAGCAAAGAGAAAGCUUCGAAUUACUAGAUAUUCCAUUAGAAACCAUUUCUAGGUUCAUUCAAACCCAUUUCUAGGGUUUUACUAUAUUAGGGUUCAAAGCUUACCUUGUAAGCUUCCUUUCCUUGCACUAGAGAAGAGGGAGAUGGAGCCUCUUUGCUCCAAAAGCUUCUUCUUCACCUUCUUUUUCUUCUUUUCCUUUCUUUUCCUUUGCCUUCUUCUUCUCCUUCUUUGUCUUCUAGAGAGAGAAAGAGAGGAGAGAGUGUGAGAGGGUGAGAAUGAGAGAAAUGUCUCAUUUACCCCAAUACUAUACUCAAUGGGUUGCAAAAUUGCAGCUAAACCCCUCAACUUUCACUUUAAUACACUGCCCGAACUGGGCAGUUCGCGCAGGCAGGGACCGGUCUCUCCUUCAGGGACCGGUUCCCGAACGUCGUCCCAGCGCAGUCAGAGCUGCGGCGCGCAGUGCAACCGGUCUCUCUUUGGGGGACCGGUCUCUCGGGGACCGGUCUCUCAGGCAGGGACCGGUUCCCGAGAGCUAAUUUCUCAGGACUUAGCCGAUUUUUCGGCUGUCUCAUUUCAUACGCGUUCGGGGACCGAUCUCUCCCACCAGGGACCGGUCCCCGAGAGCUCAAAAUCUGCAGUUUUGCAGAUUUGGUUCUAUAGCUCUCGAAAACCUCCCGUAACUCACUUUUAAUCAUUUUAACACCUUCGGACUUUUCGAAGUGUACCAUCCUCGCACUUUGGUCAAUUUGACUAAAGUUCGACAUUUUUAUUUUUCCGAAUUUUCGGUAUAUUACAUAAACCCUAUUGGGAGCAGCGCCAAGGAGCUGGAGCCAAAAUUAGGCUAACUCAUGCUCGGGUCUAGCAGUGUGUAGGGAGGGCGGCCAGAGGGUGAUGGGCAGUGCCGACGAUGAUACCAGAGGUCAGAGAGAGGACCUCAAAGCUCGUUGGUUCACAAAGCAACAAGAAGAAGUGCCCCGCCCUGGGGUUCUUUUGGAAAUCACUUUUAGGAAAACUAGCGAAAAACGUAUAGAUUUUUUUUUUUUGAAAACACAUUUGAGAACAUCCCAUAAACAUACACAGACCCACCACAUGGACAAAGAAUUUUCUGUAUAACGGACAAAGUCUCCUUUGUACAUGCACGAUAUAGUACCAUAGUACAAAGUCAAGCACACACACAACCACACAACACAAACAUUCUAAAAAUUAUUAAAUAACAAUAAUCCCAGAAUAAUAAUUAUCUACAUCUAUUCACUGAUAUAAAAACAUUAACAGGUAAAUGAAUUAAACUAAUCCAACAGGCAGGAAAAGCUAAACCAAAUAUUAGAUAUAAGGGUCUAUGAGGACCAAUCAAGAACUCAACUACUUAGUAUCAUUCUAACGCACUGUCCCAAUCUUCACCUCCCGCGUCACCUGAAAAGUGGUUGGGUGAGAACAUCUAAACAUGUUUUCCCUCACAGUGUGUAUCGAAAGCCGACGAAGGCAAGUUGUACUCAUCCUUUAAAAGAUAUUUACACUGUUUGAAAAAUAUUUACACAGUUUCUUCUUUUGUUGCAUUGUUUUUUCUUUUGUUACACUAUUUCUUCUCUUUAUUGCACUCUUUAAGAGGAGAAACAGUACAACAAAAGUAGAAACAGUGCAACGAGAGGAGAAACAGGGUAAAUAUCUCUUAAAGUGUGCAACUUGUAUCUAAAAGAAUGCAACAAGAGAAAAAAUAAUGUAAAUAUCUCUCAAAAAGUACAAAUUUUGUUUAAAAAGUAUAAAUUUCAUCUUAAAGGAUGCAGUUUACAUAUCAAAGAAAUGCAAUAGGAGAAAUAGUGUAAAUAUCUUCCAAAUAGUGCAAUUUUUAUUUAAGAAGUAUAACUUUCAUCUUAAAGUGUGCAGUUUACAUCUCAAAUAGUGAAACUUACGUUCAUAAUAGUGCAACGUUCUUUUAAAACAGUGUAAUUUUAUUUUAACAAUACAAUUUCAUCUUCGUCUUUCUUCUUUCAUAAUUUUUUGUCUUUAUUUUUUCUUCUUCCUUCUUCUAUAAUUUUUUUUUGGGUCAUGCCUCUCUACCAACGGACACUACGCCGGCGACGACGUCGCUAAGGACCCCCCGCUCUGAGGCUGCGGCCCCACAAUGACCUCUGCGGUGUUAGCAUUGGCGAAAAGGCGUUGUCAUCGGAGGCGACGGAGGAGGAAGGAGAGGGAGAGGGAGAGGGCGAGAAGAGCAGGAAAGAGCGAGAGAGGACAAGAGAGGCGUCAUCGUCAAAGAUAGGGGAGGAGGGUUGGAGAGGAAAAAAAAAAAAAAGAGUUGCGGCGCGGCCUCAGAGAGGUUGGAGGUGAGGAACGUCAGGGAUGAGCGCGGACAAGGGUGAGCGCGAGGGCGAGGGCGAGGGCGAGGGCGAGGGCGAAGGCGAGGGGAUGAGGGUGAGAGGCGACGCAGGCCGUUUCUACCUUUGCCUCUGCCGUCGCUGCCUUAUUUGGCGAGAGAAAAAAAAGAUGUACGGGAGAAAAAAAAAAAAAAAGGAGAAAGAAAAAGUAAUAAGAAUAUUUUAGUCAGUUUGCUAAAAAUUCGGACCGAAUCUGCAAAAUCAUNCUUCUAUAUUUUUUUUUGUCACCCGUCUCUGCCAGCGCCGACGACAACGCCGCUAAGAACCCCUGCUCUGAGGCUGCAGCGCCGCAGCAACGUCCAGGAGCGUUGGCGAAGAUGCGUCGUCUUCGAAUACGGCAGAGGAGGAAGGAGAGGGAGAGGGCGAGAAGGGCGAGAGAGGCGUCGUCAUCGGAGAUGGUGAAGGAGAAUCGGAGAUGAAAAAAAAAAGAGUUGCGGCGCGGCCUCAGAGAGGUUGGAGGUGAGGAACGUCAGGGAUGAGCGCGGACAAGGGUGAGCGCGAGGGCGAGGGCGAGGGCGAGGGCGAGGGCGAAGGCGAGGGGAUGAGGGUGAGAGGCGACGCAGGCCGUUUCUACCUUUGCCUCUGCCGUCGCUGCCUUAUUUGGCGAGAGAAAAAAAAGAUGUACGGGAGAAAAAAAAAAAAAAGAGGAGAAAGAAAAAGUAAUAAGAAUAUUUUAGUCAGUUUGCUAAAAAUUCGGACCGAAUCUGCAAAAUCAAAAAAGGUGGUCCAGUUUUGCAAAAGCUGAAAGUUUGUGAUUUUUUUUAAUGCAAAUUGGCCAUUAGAAUUGUUGGUGAAAAUUGAUAGCACCAUUAGAAAAAAAAAAUUGCAACCAAAAUUCAGGCUUUUAUAGGUAGUAAUUAGAAUAGAAAUAGAUAGAUAAUAUAUUUUAAUUAAUAUAUAAUUGUAACACUUGCAUGAAGUAUACCAAUUAAGCUUAUAAAGAUAACUGUUUAAAAUUUGAAGUCACAGUAUCAUUAAGUAACCCAAAUGAAAUAAAAUUGAAGAAUUAAGUUGUAAAAUUAAAAUUUUAAAAUGUUAGAUAGUCACAUCAAAAUGAUUUAUAGUUUGUAGAGAUGUCAAUGGAUAUGGAUAAUAUAAAUUUUAUUCAAAUCUGAAUCCGAAUCCGAGCAAAGCGGAUUUACUUGAUACUAAAUAGAUAAAGUUUCGAAUAUAGAUGUCAAAAAUAAAAAAGCCAACGGAUCUAAAUUCGGGUAUGGAAACCCGAAUUAAUUUGAAAUUAUAUAUAUAUAUAUAUAUAUAUAUAUGUUUGAUGUUGUAUUAGAAUUUGUAUUUUUAAAAUUUACAUUUAUAUAUAACAUAUUUUAAAAUAUUAUAAAAAAUAAUUGUUUCGGAUUUAAAUUUCACAUUUUUACUUAGAUUUGAAUUUGAAUAUAAAUUUUUAAAAUCAUCUGAUUCGAAUUUAAAUUCUAAAUUUGAUAUGAAGUUCUGAUUUGAAUUUUCUGAUAUCCUAAUUUGGACAAGUUUUUUCGUUUUUACCUAAUAUAUUUAAUCACCGGUCUCAGAAGUUUCCCCGACCUAAACAGCUCCCGGUGUAAAAUCUCGCCAACGUUCUCCUUUCUUCUCCUCCUCUUCCGGCUCGUCAAAAACCCCUGAACCCUAACCCUAAAAUCCGAGAAAUGAAUCGACAAUAUCGGAGCUAAAACCGGAGGAAUCAAGGAAGAAGCAAUGGGGAUCCCCGCAUUCUACCGUUGGCUCGUCGACCGCUACCCCCUCUCCGUCGUGGAGGUGAUCGAGGAAGCUCCCAAGGUCGUCAAUGGCGUCCGAGUCCCCGCCGACUCCACGGGCCCGAACCCUAACGGCGUAGAGUUCGACAACCUCUAUCUCGACAUGAAUGGGAUCAUCCACCCUUGCUUCCACCCCGAAGACCAGGUUAAAAUCCAUUGCUUUCCGUGAAACAACCGGUUACUUUAACGGGCCGUUUGUUUCACGGUUUUUUAUAUUUCGGGAAUGAGUGAAGUGCUCUACUAGUUCCUGAACUUCGAGUCAAACUUUUGUUUUCGACGGUUGAGAUCAUGAACUUUCUAUAAGAUUUCAAUGUAACAAGUAAACCUUCAACAGUACUCUAUUUUGAUCCUUACCUUAGAGUAAAAAUUGUUGCAUGCACCUAAUUCAUUUGUAUGUUCGUAUACCAUAAAUUCAUCGGUCCUUCACGGAUCUUAUAAUUUCAAUUGAACGGUCCAAUUUAUAUGUAGAGCAAAAAUUGCUACACGUUAGGUGGUAAGGUUGAAAUACGAGAUGCAAUAAAUAAUAGAUAAAUGUAUGGUAUAUUCAUAUGCAGAUACACUAGCCAUAGGCAAUAAUAAUUUAUUCAAGAUUGUUAAAUCGCCACUUGUGCAACUCACAUUAGGAAGAUGUACAAGAUGUUGGCGAAGUGAUUAAAUCAUCCUAGAUUGCCACAGGAUAGAGGAUUUUGUCAUUCCCACGCUUGAUGGGAAUGAGUAGCCCAUUAACAAGAAUGCACAACUUACUUAUAUCCUCCUAACCCAAGUGGCAUGGUGAAAAUCUUGAAAAUAUAAUAUAUACAACAGUCUCGGAAUAUUACAAAGCUGUGAGGCGAAUGGCCCCUAAAAGCUUUAAGUUGUAUGCUGGUUUUUAAUAUUUUAUAAUCAAUGCUCUCUGUCACAUUCGGGUUUAAGGGCCUGUUUGGCCUAGCUUCUGAAAAAGUGAUUUCUGAAAAAGUGAUUUUGGUUUAGAAAAGUGAUUUCUGUUAAAAGCUGUAGAGCGUUUGGCUGAGUCUGAUAGAAAAGUGAUUGUGCUGAAGUGAUUUUAGAAAGCUAUUUGGCAAAUAUUUUUUGCUGAAGUGAUUUUGUAAUGCUAUUUAACAUUAGUUAUUUUUAAAACACACUAAUAUCACAUGCCAAUAUUUCAAGUUAUAAAUAACUAUUUAAUAUAACAAAAGUGUAUCUGAAUAAAACUAAAUCCAAACAAUAUGUAAUUUGCCUUUCUCAUAAAACUGAGGAACUGAAGGACUUGCCUGCUAUGAUAAUACUUUCUAGCCAGGCAAGUACCAAAACGAUAAAUUUUUUUGGAUGUCACCAACAAGAUGAAUUAGAUAACUUGUUGAUGAGUAUAAAUUUUGUUGUUAUUAAUGUUCUCUUCUAUUGUGUCUUGACUUUGAGAUCCAAGCUCAAAACAAAAAAACACACAUCAACUUAAUAUGGCUUACUAAAAUAAAAAACCAAGCUUAGAUAUUCAACAACAGAAAAGCUAGCUGCCUUUGUAUGACGGUCUUUAAGCUUCUCGUAAACAUUAUACUAUCGUACUUUUGAACUUUAGUUAAAAGACCGUACUUUCAAAAAAACCAUGAUCGUCCGUUNAUAAAGCAAACUUCUCUCCGAACGGAACCGAUGAUGAACUUACCGCAGCAAAAAUAAAUAUGCAUCAGAUAGGAUAUUGGCAGUGAAAAAGAAAUGGAAUUAAUGCUUCAAAUUGAACAAGAAGUGUACAAAAAAAAAGCAGAUUCUACAAAUGAAAAAAAAAAUACAGCAUGUGAGAUGGGCCUCCUCUUCGACCACAACCACUCAAUUUCCAUCUUGAUUUUGCUAAGUUCAUCAUCAUGAUGCAGUCCCGAUGCAGAUCCGACCAAGCCGGCGGGAUCCGUCUUUGUCGGAUCCCGCGGGCGCUGACCCGAGCUCGGAUCCAGGUCAAAGGUGGAUCUGGGGCCGGAUCCGGCAAAACCGGACCCCGUCGGCGCCGAUCCGGCCAAGUCGGCGGGAUCCAUCUUUGUCGGAUCCUGCCGGCGUGAUCCACGCCCAGAUCUGGCUCAAAGGCUGAUCCCCGGCGGAAUCCGUCUUUGCCGAAUCACGCCGGCGCGGAUCUGGGGUCGGGCGCGGAUUAGGGAGAGAAAUCAAGAGAGGGAGAAAGAUAAUCUGUAUGAAAAAAAAACACUCUCCUUGGAAAAAAAAAAAGAGAGUACCUUGGAGGUUCGCCGGAGAAAAACUCGCCGGAGAAGAAACUUGCCGGUGGAAAACGCAUCGCCGGAGAGGAAAAAGGGAGAGAGAUGAAGAAGAGAGGGAAGGAGAGGGGAGUGAUUAGAUGAAGAAGAGAGGAGAGGAGAGUGUUUUUUUUUUUUUGGGAGUAGGAGUGGGAGUUGGCUGUGAGAGUAAUGGGAGAGUAAUGAGAGAUAUAUUAUUAAUUAUAAAAGGAUAUGAUAGAAUUGUAAUGUUUGUUUAAGGGUAAUUUCGGUAUUUUAGUAAAAAAAUUUAAGUUGUGAAACAGCUUGUGCGGGAAUCUGUUUUGGAAAAGCAGGUUUUUUCAGCUUCUGCUUUUGGAGGUUGAAGAAUCAGUUUUCAGCUUUUAGGAAGCAGAAUCAGAUUUCUAAAUACCUUUACCAAACACUCUAGCUUGGCCUAAAAGUGAUUUUCAGCUGAAAAUCACUUUGCAAAAGCUUGGCCAAACAGGGCCUAAGUCUUUAUGUCACGCUCUGGACUUCAGCGGAAGCUCACUAGCUACGUGCACAGAACCGCCGUGUACACCACCACCUCUAGUGUACACCAGGCGUCUACAAUCAAUAUAGCAAAAGCAUAACUUCUUAACUAGGUAAUCAGAGCAAAAACUAAAAGUUCAUAAGCUUAUACUAAAACAAUACCCAAUUACAGUUUAGAAAUAAAGUACAACGCACAUUCUAAAUAGUCCCACAAUACAUCUCUGAACUAAACUAGAAUAAGUUUGCAUGGUUUCAUCUAUUUAACAUCGAGGAGGCUCUAGCUAGCCGCUGACCCCUUGCCAGGAACCCUAGCCUUUUCUGCUGCGGAAGGCUCUGCACAAAAGCAAUCAACAAAUGGACGUGAGAACUAUUAAACAAUAGUUCCUAGUGGGUAAGCCGCUAAGAAUGGCGAAGUACACCACUAGGUCAACUGAAGCAGGAGUAAACUAUCGUAAGUAGAACAAGUAAACAUAGCAAAUAGAUGCAAUGAAUUAAUCAUAAACCUGCCUCAACAUGAUAUGUUUUCUAACAUGUUAUACAUACUAAUCAUUACAUAUACCAGUUGAUGUUUCAUGUUAGUUACAAUUAUCCAUCAAUAACCUACAUGUUAUGAUUCAUGCAGCAUGUCAUCAUUAUAGUUUAAUUAACUAAUGAUAUCACAUAGUUACCUCCUACACUAACAGAAGUGUAAGCAUGUAAAUACUGUCAUUACCAGUAAUGACUAACAGGAAUGUCAACCUUCUAGUAUAUUCAUUACUAGGUAUAUCUUAACUAAUGACAUGAAGUAUCUGAACUACUAUGUCCUCUAAGGUUACAUUCAUUUACAUUACCUCAAUUAAUGAGAGACUUACGCGUGGUAAAGUCCCGGCUCGUGCCGUGUCUAAUGGCCCCGUGGAAGUCAACACUACCCACGGCAAUCCACUUCGGCGCUCAGUCCCGCACGGGCGAUCUGCUAUCGCAAGGCCAACUCCGGAGUGCCGGCUUGUGGGGCGCGACCCUCAGAACCAUGUGCGCGCGCCCCUCACAACCAUGUGCGAAUGAGCACAUCAGCAAGCAAGCGUAAUCCAUAACAUAAGGUCUAUAGGUCUCAUAUCCAAUCAUCAUGUCUCUAACAUGAAAUCUCAAUUUCGGCACAAAGUCGACUAUUAAUAAUAAAGUCAUAUUUUACUUUCAACUACUUGGUGACAUAUUUCUAUCAAUAGAUAAUACGACUUAAACAAAUACACGAUUUACAUCAUAUUGAUGAUUCUAGCGGCCUAUACCUGCAUACUCACAUAUAAUCCAAUCACUACUCCCUAUAACAUAAGGAAAGUGGUUUACUAAAGUCAUAGUCACUGAUUCACUAUGAUGUUCAUACCACUCAUGGCAUAUGUUCUAUAUUUCUAAACCUCCACUAGUGGAGUAAACAAGCAUUAUGCAAUUACUUCUACUUGACUACACAAGUAUAUCAUUUCGCGACCCAUAGGUCAGAAUCUACAUCAUUAUGUCCAACUCUAGUCAUUUAACUAGGUCAUAUUCAAUAGCAUAAGCCAUAAAGUUCAUGCUAACUCUAUCAUAUGAAUGUUAUGAACUACUUGUCUACACAAGUAUACGAAACCUCAUGUAAUGUAUUCUACACAGAAUCUCUAAACAAUUCAUUUCACAAUAUAAAGAUACAACCUUGUUAUAUGCAAUAUACACAGAAAUUCUUUCGUCAUGUCUAUAACAUGGAAUAGCAUGAUUUAACUUAAGAGUUAAAUGUCUUAACCAUUCUCCUCUUAGUUGUUAAUCUACACCAAGUGUCACAUUCAUAGCUUUACCUCGAUUCCCUAUGGAAGGAUGCAAUGUCUAACUUGUCUACACAAGUUUUACUAAUCUCGUAUAAAGCAUGCUAAUUAAGCUAUUUCCAAAAUCCCUUUUUCUCUACUACAUAGAGAUUUCACUUAAUCAUAUAUGGUAAGCAUGUGUUAUGCAUGCGCAAUUCAUUCAAACAUAUAUUCACAUGAAUAUGUAGGAAUUACAACUUAUUAAUGUCAAAGAAGACAUAGGGGGGAUUCACCAAUUUUGGUAAGGUCAAACCCACCAAAUCGCUGUCGACUCUUGUCGAUUCCGCGAGCGAAGAUGCUCUCUAGCCUCCAAGCACCCUAACAAUCAUACUAAAUUAACUAAGAGCUUUAACCAAGCAUUCACAUAAGAACUUCACAAGUUAACCUAGUUUAGGCAAAAAUCUCACCUAGUAUAGGACCAAGGCUUGUUCCUCACUUCAAUUCAGGUUGGAGCAUACCACAUCCAACCUACCAAGAUCACCAAAACUCAGCCAAAAGGGUUCACAAACCUGCUGUGAGCUAACAUCAAGAACUCCACCAAUGCUACUACUAAUACAUCAAACUAGAGAGAUGUUAAGUAGUAUACCUUUCCAAAGCUCCAAUCUCAGCCAAUUCCUGAACUAGGGUUGCAGGUAUCUCAUCUAAGACACUAUUUUCCUCACUUCUAUAGCUCCUCCAAAGCCCUCAAACCAGCAAGCAUGAAGAAGAAAGGAGAAAAGAGAUCAACACAUCAAUUUCUUCCAAUUUCCUCAAAAUUUUCCUAGAGAGAGAAAGAGAGGGACUUACUCUGUUUUCCCAGAGCCAAAACACAAGAAAACCCUGCUGGGGUCGAGCUAGGGUUUAAAUGGAUAAGCAUUAAAGUGAAAUUAUCAUAAAACCCCUCACCAACUAACUCAGCCGCACUGGGUACCGGUACUCGGGCUCGGGUACCGGUACUUGGCCUCAAAACAGCUAAAACCCGAUAGCUCUGCGCAACUGGGUUUUUAUAUAGGGUAUCGGUACUCGCCAGAUGCAGUACCGGUACGCAGCACUCAAACCUGAAAUUUUCUAGGUUUUAGUGUCAAUAAUCCAUCCAAACACUUGGAGCAUAUAAGUUAACGACCAGUAUGCUUCCAACAAUAAUCAAAACAAUUAGGAUAGUGUCAAUUACUAUCCUCACAUUGAAACUUUACUAUUUGCUAAAGUUCAGUGUACUACACUUUAAGACUUUUUGAUAGGUCCAAGACGUGAAAUUAUAUUAAAUGGGAGGGAAUUAAACGAGAAUAAGAGUUUGAUGGAAUUUGAACUUAGUACCUCCUGCUUUGAACCCUUUUUCUUCCUAAUAGUUUGAGUUGUCAGAGGACUGUAUUUUUAAUUUUUGUAUAUGACGCUCAAUUCAUUAAUUCUUUGUUGGAACAUUUCUGUGAUCUUACUUUGCAAUGAUUCUCAGCUUGCGCCCAACUCAUAUGACGAGGUUUAUGAGGCCGUAUUUGAGUACAUAGAUCGCAUUUUCUUGUUGAUUCGGCCACGGAAGCUUCUUUUCAUGGCAAUUGGUGAGGUUUGGAGUUCAAAAGAUUUUGUUUUGAGGUGAAAGUUUGAAAUGUAACUUUAAUUUGAUUUGAGUGCUAGAUGGGGUUGCACCACGAGCGAAGAUGAAUCAGCAACGAGCAAGGCGGUUCAGGGCUGCUAAAGAUGCGGCUGAUACAGUGAGUUUGGCCUUAAUUUUAUUCCGGUUUCUAAGAAAAUAGUAAUUUUUUGAGUUUUUCUUUUUGUUUAAUUGUGGUGAGGACUAAUCAGGCGGUAGAGGCCGAGAAGUUGGGGAAUGAGUUGAAGAGAGAAUUUGAAGAACUAGCUUGGCCAGAACAAAAUGGAAGUAUGGAUUCAAAUGUUAUCACACCCGGAACUAAGUUUAUGGCCUCCUUAUCUGUGGCUCUUCAAUACUACAUUCAACUGAGAUUGAACAGUGAUCCUGCAUGGCGCGGCAUCAAAGUAGAGUUUAAGCAGUUGCUCUUGCUUUUUAUUAUUUUUCAGCUUAUGUGGUUUAUAUGAAGGGUGAACAUACAGACAUAACCUGGAUUACAUUGCAUUCUAAAUGUGCGCUUGAACUUUGAAAAUUGAUUUCAAUACCUAACCUUUCAUGACUUUUGAUUUCAGUAACUCUAGUCAAGAUCUGUAAAGACUUAACAGUUUCGAUCAAAACAGUUGUUGAAUAUGCUGUCCAGUAAUGGAAUAAUCUUUUGGUUGAAAAGUUACCAAACAUUGAGAAGCACUGACGGACAAGUAUUGUAAUGCAAAAUAAUGGAUGCUUAAAUGCUGAAAUUAAAACUUACAAACUUUUGGCACUCAUUUCAAAAUGUGUUGUAGUUCAAGUAGUAUGCGUUUGUUUCCAUCUUUACUUUCUUUGUAUGAAUUUUAAUUAUCUCGGAAGUAUCUAGGUCAUUCUUUCCGAUGCAAAUGUGCCUGGGGAGGGUGAGCACAAAAUAGCAUCAUAUAUCCGUGCACAGAGGAAUCUAUCGGGAUUUGACCCAAACACAAGGCAUUGCUUGUACGGAUUGGUAAUUAUUACAUCCUUUUGUUAAUAUUAUCAUCUUUAUCUCUUAUUUUGAUAUCUUUGUGUUAUCUUUCCAUUAUCUCUGACUAAUAUGUAAUCUGCUUUUUGAUAUAUUAGGAUGCUGACUUGAUCAUGCUUGCUCUAGCAACACAUGAGAUUCAUUUCUCUAUUUUAAGAGAGGUGAGCGACUUUGAUGAAAGAUAGGAUUACUCUGAUAUCUGGUCUCUCACAAUAAUUGAUGGUGGUUGUUUUUUUGUUCUUGGAGAUAGGAUGUUCGAGUUGCACGGAAGAGUGAAAGAAUAGCCAAGUCACAUAUGAAAAGCCAAUUGUCUAGUCAAAGGGUGGGAAAGAGGGGGAUUAAAGAAGAUAAUGAUGGGAUCCGACGAAUAAAGUUUCAGGUUGCUUUUUUAUGUCAUUUUACUUGAAAGGUUCUAAGUUCUUAAAAUAUAUUGCAAAGAAAAGUCUUGCAAUUAUAUGUGAAUUGGUUUCUUGCUUCGCAUAGUUUUUUUGUAAUUCUACUUAUAUUUAUUUUUACAGUUAUAUUUUAUUUUAUUUUUCCAAUGUGAACUUUGUGCAACUAGCAUAAAGAGUUAAUCACUCUUAUCAUUGAACUUUCUAUUCGGAAGUAGAUUUUUGUUUCACAUUUUGUAAGCUGUUGCAACUAAUUUAAGGAGAUGAAAAAUAUUCUUCUUUCAAGCUUAUACUGGUUAAAUAACUAUAGAGACAAAGUCAAUGACCAUAAUAGUAAUGAUCAUUAACAUUUUAAGAUACAAACUCUAGGCAGAGUUCGACGAAGGUGGAAAUGUAUAAACAUUAUCUUAACUAUGUUGCAUUUUGAAACAAUAUCUGAACUUCAAAAAUAGGCUUUUAUUCAUUUAGAAUUCAAAACUCGACCUUUCCCUUUCCUCGAGUUAGGAUUCAAAACCUAAUCUUGUAAUGUAUUUGAUUUUGUAUGUCUUGAGCAAAUUUAAUGUUUCUUUUGUCUUUUGUUUUUGUAAAUUGAAUAUUCUUCUAUUUGAUGGAACGUUCUACAAUUUUUUGAAUGAAAACAGUUAAAUUUAACUGAAUAUGACCAACUUUUUUGAGAAUCUUCCUGAAAUCAAAAGCUAAGAUAAGAUAAUAAAUUCAUAACUUUUAAAGUUGUACCCAUCUAUAAACAUGUUAUAGAUCAAGUAAGGUCUAUACAUUUUACCUUGUUUAAAACUAUUUCUAGUUUGUGCUCUUCCGCUUACUGAUAAACAGUUUUGAUUUUCUUGUAGUUCGUCCAUGUUUGGGUUCUGAGAGAGUAUUUAGAGCAUGACCUAAGGAUAUCAGAUGCUUCGCUGAAGAUUGACUUGGAGCGUUUGAUUGAUGAUUUAGUUUUCAUUUGUUUAUUUGUUGGAAAUGAUUUUCUACCGCAUAUUCCUUCACUGGAAAUAUCAGAGGUUCGAUAUAAAUAUCUACUCUUUUAUCUCGUCCUAUGCUAAAGCUUCUUAUAUCUACAACUUAUCUUUUUGAAUAACUAUGAGUUGGUUUUAUAAAUUCUUGUGAUAUUGAAACACAUUUUUAGAUGGCUAGAACAUAUAAUGGUUAACUUUUGAGUUAAAGAAUUAAUUGAAGAAAUUUAAUAUAAUAGAAAGAUGGUAAUAGUGCUUUAGAAUAGGAAAAUUGAAUGUUUUUAGGGGGGAAAAAAGAAGUGAAUGGGUAAGAAGUGGAUUACAAUGUGGAAAGAGACUAAAAAGGAGGAUAGUGUGCUUUUGAAUCCUCAGUCAAAGUAUAUUAUAUCUACAGUAAUCUUAGUAUCAAAGGGUUGAAGAAAAGAGUGUGGCCGAGUCAAGAUUUAGUUGUGCCGUCAUUUUUAGUUUUAUAAGAUAUUUAUAUUGUUGCCAUCCUUCAACUUAAGAUAAGGGCCUUUGUGUAAGAUAUUGCAGCUUCAAAGGGUAUGCAUGAAAAUUCAGAUUUGAAGGCGCUGAAAAACCAUAUGAACAGUUGGCAUUUGUUAGGAGUUGUUGGAGAAAGAGCUUGCAAGGUGCGGCUGAGCAUAGAUGGACAUUAUGAUGUAGCAAUAUUAUGGUUGCUAUGUUAAAAAACCUUUUGCACUAAGCUGACAAAUUAAUGCUCCACUAGAAGUUGGCAACCUUUCUAAGUAAAGGGUCAAUGAAAUAAUUCAAUGGGACAACUUUUUGUAUCAUGAUUCUUUGGAAUCUCUCUUAAUUUUCAUCUCAAAAAAUCGUUCUAUUUGUGCAUACAGAUAAAACAACUGCAUGCAUCCUGCCUUCCUAUCUUGUAUGCAACUUUGCAUCAUUUAGCAUAUAGUAUAUAUUGAAUAUCGUGGUUCUUAAAUGUUUUUAUAUUUGUUGACGUUUUGGCCUGCUUAGUUGUCACAUUUUAGUAAUCCUUACUGGCAUUUCACGAUUUAGGGUGCAAUAGAUUUGCUAAUGAGGAUAUACAAAAAGGAGUUUGCUUGGAUGGGUGGUUAUCUAACUGACUCUUUCAAGGUUUGUUGCUGCCUACUAUUUCUUUGAUUGUUAGCACUUUGUUGUUAUUAUUUCUAUUGUGUGUAUAUAUAUAUAUAUAGAGAGAGAGAGAGAGAGAGAGAGAGAGAGAGAGAGAGUUGAGUUGGAAUACUAUUGGUAGCAAAUGGGUUCCGUUGCUACCAAUUUGUUUUUAAUGAUGGAGCCUCCAAAUCGACGAUCGAUCGACGAUCGACACCGUUGAACAUGAUCUAUACCACUUGAAGUAUCUAGAAAUCAAAUUUCAAAUCUUUUCGACAUCAUUGACCUAAUGAUCAAAGGGUUGCAAAAUUUAUAAUUUUAAUGGUCGAUAUGAGACGUUUUCUCGUUUAACGGCGUAAAGGUAUCUAAAUCAAUUGAAUUUUGAUUAGAAAAAUUUUUAAACUAUUUAAAACAAGAGCUAUACUUUUGAGUUUUGACUUUGAUUACAAGACUCCUAUCAUCACUUUUUGAAGGAUAUUUAGUUUCAGCCGUUCAUUUUUGUGUUCUAUUGGUGGACAAGAGAACAAUAUCGGAAAAGUAAAAAAUUUGAUUUUUUGAUUGUUUAAAUGGUCUAGAUCACGUUCAUGAUGGCAACUGUCGAUU
rnacentral:lncRNA from 1 species